UCACGUGUGGUGCAGUGGGAAACAUCUUAGGCUUCUACCAUUAGGGUUGUGGGUUCGAAUCCCGGCUGUUGGAA